rnacentral:rRNA from 1 species
AUACGUAGGGCGCGAGCGUUGUCCGGAAUUAUUGGGCGUAAAGAGCUCGUAGGUGGCUUGUCGCGUCUGCCGUGAAAGCCUGCGGCUUAACCGUGGGUCUGCGGUGGAUACGGGCUGGCUUGAGGUAGGUAGGGGCAAGCGGAAUUCCAGGUGUAGCGGUGAAAUGCGCAGAUAUCAGGAGGAACACCGGUGGCGAAGGCGGCUUGCUGGGCCUUACCUGACGCUGAGGAGCGAAAGCGUGGGGAGCGAACAGGAUUAGAUACCCUGGUAGUCCACGCUGUAAACGUUGGGCGCUAGGUGUGGGGUUCUUCCACGGAUUCCGUGCCGUAGCUAACGCAUUAAGCGCCCCGCCUGGGGAGUACGGCCGCAAGGCUAAA